UACGUAGGGGGCAAGCGUUGUCCGGAUUUAUUGGGCGUAAAGAGCGUGUAGGCGGCUAGGUAGGUCCGUUGUGAAAACUCGAGGCUCAACCUCGAGACGCCGAUGGAAACCAUCUGGCUAGAGUCCGGAAGAGGAGAGUGGAAUUCCCAGUGUAGCGGUGAAAUGCGUAGAUAUUGGGAGGAACACCGGUGGCGAAGGCGGCUCACUGGACCGGUACUGACGCUGAGACGCGAAAGCCAGGGGAGCAAACGGG
rnacentral:rRNA from 1 species